rnacentral:rRNA from 1 species
UACAGAGGGUGCAAGCGUUAAUCGGAAUUACUGGGCGUAAAGCGUGCGUAGACGGUUAUUUAAGUCAGGUGUGAAAGCCCCGGGCUCAACCUGGGAAUUGCAUUUGAGACUGAAUAGCUAGGGUGCGGAAGAGGGAAGCGGAAUUUCCGGUGUAGCGGUGAAAUGCGUAGAUAUCUGGAGGAAUACCGGUGGCGAAGGCGGCAUCCUGGACCGGCAUUGACGCUGAGGAGCGAAAGCUAGGGGAGCAAACGGG